ensembl:lncRNA
AUGGAGCAGUACCAGCUUUUUACAAACCGCCUAACAACGUCAUUACAGUGCCGAGAGGAGAGAAUGGAAGACGAAUUUUCUAAAACGGUGCAGGAGGCAGCGGUAUUACUGAUCAGCAGUACAUCUUGUCGAAGCUGCUGGGGGCUGGAUAUUAAAAACACCAACAUAUGUGGAGGGGCUGCGGGCUCAUCCUCGCUCAUGGUAAUUCAAGGACACACUGAUGAGUGUGGUGUUCUUCUCACUGUGUCUCAUGAAUGGGUGUUUGCUGACCAUAAAGAGGUAUAAAAUAUAUGGUAGUUUUAAAUUGAAAAGUGAGAAGAAUAAGUACAUUGCUAAGCUGAUGUACUGUCAUUGCAAAUUUGGUCCUUGAAGGGAACACAGUUCUCAAAAGGAAUUGAUUGUUCAUUUGCUUGGUUGACUAUGUGAAAUUGAUGACAUUCAGCUGUUUUUAGCCUAUAAAAAUUAUUAUGGCUCAACUUCACAGCUGAAUUAGGCAGCUCAAAGAACCUACUUCUAGUAGCAUUGGAAAUAUAAAGAUAUUUUCAUGUAACUCAAAGCUAUCAUUUAGUCAUUGGUAUUUCAUAGAUGCUUGAAACUUUCUGCAAGUCACAGUCUAUUGUCAGCGUUAAAGGACUGUGUUAAAUGUACCUUUUAGCCACUCUCUGAAAAUAUAGAUUUAGAUCUGAUUCAGAGACCCGUAACAUCUGCCAACGGCCUAGUUCCCCUCCGCUGCUGUGAGCAGAAAUCAGAGAUGAGGGAAUGAGGCACUGUCUGAUCACCCUACAGUGGAGCUUAGCAUUGACCAUGAAUCAAGCAACCAGCAGAACUUUCCUUUUUGCGGGUUGCAGGGAGAUUCUGGAGGACCGCUGCAGCGCGCCCACAACGGACAGUACCAGCUCAUCGGUAUUGGGAGCCGGGGCAGCAGGAACUGCCAGCCCACCGCACCCACGGUCUUUGCCAGAAUUUCUGCCUAUAGGGACUGGAUCGCAUCUGUCACUGGAGGAGAAGCGUGAUCACUGAGAGAGUAGCCUGGUGGGGUUGUGUCCAUAAAUGGGAAAGGAAGUCCCCAACAGUAUACCCAAGAAAUAAGUCUCUUCUUAGCGCCUAAGACUCCGUGUCAUUCCUCCAGCCCUUGUCAUUGAGGAGCUUGGAUUUGGUGUGCACGUAUGUCUAGUAUUAAAUACUGAACACAGAAAGCUAAUGUUGAUCAUGCCUUCUGGGAAUGUAUAUUCAGAAAUGUCAUUAAAUUCAUAUUUAGUGUACCAUGUAUAUGUCAUUAUUUGAAUACCAUCGUAUACACUGUUAUUCUUUUUUCUAGUUUGGUAAACAUUAGAAGACAUGAAGUAUAAUGUUAUUCAGUCCAUAUAAUUUUUUUUUUAAAGAUUUUAUUGGACAGAGAGCACAAGCAGGCAGAGCAGCAGGGAGAGGGAGUGGGAGAAGCAGGCUCCCUGCUGAGCAAGGAGACCGAUGCGGGGCUCAAUCCAGAGGCAGACGCUCGACCAACUGAGCCACCCAGGCACCCCCAGUCCAUUAUAAUUCUUAAUUUCAUUCACAUGGAAUAGUGCCCUGAGCACGGUUAGAUAGGAAAGAUCCCUCUAUGUUUCAGAGUUUCAGUGAACAAUGGACACUUAAGAAAUUAUUUAUCAAGCCUAUCACUUGAUUUU